GGUGGUUUUCAGGUUAUGCACUUUGGAAUUGGGCUCCCUCCUCUCUGGUUCCCUGUGUGUCACCCAAGAACUGAA
rfam:Myotis brandtii contig223289, whole genome shotgun sequence.